rnacentral:misc_RNA from 1 species
UUUCCGUAGGUGAACCUGCGGAAGGAUCAUUAUCGUAAAACCGAGGUGCGAGGGCUGUCGCUGACCUUUUCGGUCGUGCACGCCCGAGCGCUCUCACACAAUCCAUCUCACCCCUUGUGCACCACCACGUGGGUCCCUUUCUGACUCGUCCGGAGGGGGGCUCGCGUUUUCACACAAACUUGAAGUAGUGUAGAAUGUCCUUUUUUUGCGAUAACACGCAAUCAAUACAACUUUCAACAACGGAUCUCUUGGCUCUC